CUAAUUAUGUCUCCCACUAUUUUAACGAAUUUCAUAGCCCUCAAGUAUGAAAAUUGAGAAAUAUCUUAAAGUUUUUUAAUAGGGUUGAGAUCCCUAUUCUUCACAAAUACCUUGUGGAUAGCACAACAAGUAUUCAUGAGUUCAAGAUUAGGUAACUGUUUACCAAUUGUACAUAUACAAUUCUCAAUAUUUUUCUCUCUUGUCUCU
rnacentral:lncRNA from 1 species